rnacentral:lncRNA from 1 species
AAAUACACUUUCUGUCUCUGUCUACAGAAUGACUCAAGAUUUCUUUGCUCCAUGGAAAAGUAGGAAGACAGAAAAGAUGCAGCAUCAUAGGUUCCAGGGGUUGUGGUACUCAUUAAGAGUGAGGCCUCAUGCCCCAGUCUUCAUUCCAUUUCAGAGGGCUGUGCUGCACACUGAGCGAAUGACUCCCUACUAUCUCAAACAAAAUGAAGAGUGGCUGAGCACACUGUGGUAUUCUGGACAUAAUAAAAAGGCGAAGGAACUGUGCUUUAUCUGCAGUAACCAUUCUCACAUUGCAGAGUAGAAACUCCUCCUCAUCUCAGCACAAAGAGCAGGUAAGGAGAGCAUCCUUUUCCAACCAGGAAGUUCUGAAGCCAAAAGUGAGUCACACGCCAAGCACAACUCACGCCUUGCAAGACAUCAACAGGCAGCCAUAUCCUCACCUUCCGACUGUGCUGGGUGUUUGAAGAUGAACGGAAUAGAAAAGUGUCUUCAGACCGUGGUAAUGCAGGCCCGAGUAAUUCUGUAAGAUGGAGUUAUAAAGUAGCAAAGGAAACAGGACUGCGGGAAGUAGGAUAAAUAAAUCAUGAAUUAACCGAGUGUGGUAGGGACAAAGCUUUUACUGUGAAAAACUAUGCUUUUUGUUUCACUUAGACAUCCCUGACUGUCAGUAAAACCGCAGC